rnacentral:rRNA from 1 species
UACGUAGGAGGCGAGCGUUGUCCGGAGUUACUGGGCGUAAAGGGUGCGCCAGGCGGCGGUUCGCGUGGCGAGAUGAAAUCUCCUGGCUUACCUGGGAGGAUGGUCGCCAGACGGGAUCGCUUGAGGGUCGGAGAGGGCGUGGAAUUCCGGGUGGAGCGGUGAAAUGCGUAGAGAGUCCGGAGAACACCGACGGCGUAGGCAGCGCCCUGGACCGACACUGACGCUGACGGCAG